AUUGAACGCUGGCGGCAUGCUUUACACAUGCAAGUCGAACGGUAACAGGGUGCUUGCACCGCUGACGAGUGGCGAACGGGUGAGUAAUGCGUCGGAACGUGCCGAGUAGUGGGGGAUAACGCAGCGAAAGUUGUGCUAAUACCGCAUACGUACUGAGGUAGAAAGUGGGGGACCUUCGGGCCUCACGCUAUUCGAGCGGCCGACGUCUGAUUAGCUAGUAGGUGAGGUAAAAGCUCACCUAGGCGACGAUCAGUAGCGGGUCUGAGAGGAUGAUCCGCCACACUGGGACUGAGACACGGCCCAGACUCCUACGGGAGGCAGCAGUGGGGAAUUUUGGACAAUGGGCGAAAGCCUGAUCCAGCCAUGCCGCGUGUCUGAAGAAGGCCUUCGGGUUGUAAAGGACUUUUGUCGGGGAGGAAAUCCCCAGCGUUAAUACCGCUGGGGGAUGACAGUACCUGAAGAAUAAGCACCGGCUAACUACGUGCCAGCCGCCGCCGUAAGAC
rnacentral:rRNA from 1 species